UGGGGAAUAUUGGACAAUGGGCGCAAGCCUGAUCCAGCCAUGCCGCGUGAGUGAUGAAGGCCCUAGGGUUGUAAAGCUCUUUCACCGGGGAAGAUAAUGACGGUAUCCGGAGAAGAAGCCCCGGCUAACUUUGUGCCAGCAGCCGCGGCAAUACGAAGGGGGCUAGCGUUGUUCGGAUUUACUGGGCGUAAAGCGUACGUAGGCGGACUUUUAAGUCAGGGGUGAAAUCCCGAGGCUCAACCCCGGAACUGCCUUUGAUAAUGGAAGGCUUGAAUAUGGUAGAGGUGAGUGGAAUUCCGGGUGGAGAGGUGAAAUUCGUAGAUAUUCGGAGGAACACCAGUGGCGAAGGCGGCUCAAUGGACCAUUACUGACGCUGAGGUGCGAAAGCGUGGGGAGCAAACAGG
rnacentral:rRNA from 1 species